rnacentral:rRNA from 1 species
CCUACGGGAGGCACCAGUGGGGAAUAUUGCACAAUGGGCGCAAGCCUGAUGCAGCCAUGCCGCGUGUAUGAAGAAGGCCUUCGGGUUGUAAAGUACUUUCAGCGGGGAGGAAGGGAGUGAGGUUAAUAACCUUAUUCAUUGAGGUUGCCCGCAGAAGAAGCACCGGUUAACUCCGUGCCAGCAGCCGCGGUAAUACGGAGGGUGCAAGCGUUAAUCGGAAUUACUGGGCGCAAAGCGCACGCAGGCGGUCUGUCAAGUCGGAUGUGAAAUCCCCGGGCUCAACCUGGGAACUGCAUUCGAAACUGGCAGGCUGGAGUCUUGUAGAGGGGGGUAGAAUUCCAGGUGUAGCGGUGAAAUGCGUAGAGAUCUGGGGGAAUACCGGUGGCGAAGGCGGCCCCCUGGACAAAGACUGACGCUCAGGUGCGAAAGCGUGGGGAGCAAACAGGAUUAGAUACCCCAGUAGUC